GAUGAACGCUGGCGGCGUGCUUAACACAUGCAAGUCGAACGGGAAACCUUUUAUUGCAGCUUCGGCAGAUUUAGCUGGUUUCUAGUGGCGGACGGGUGAGUAACGCGUGGGUAACCUGCCUUAUACAGGGGGAUAACAGUCAGAAAUGGCUGCUAAUACCGCAUAAGCGCACAGAGCUGCAUGGCUCAGUGUGAAAAACUCCGGUGGUAUAAGAUGGACCCGCGUUGGAUUAGCUGGUUGGUGGGGUAACGGCCCACCAAGGCGACGAUCCAUAGCCGGCCUGAGAGGGUGAACGGCCACAUUGGGACUGAGACACGGCCCAGACUCCUACGGGAGGCAGCAGUGGGGAAUAUUGCACAAUGGGGGAAACCCUGAUGCAGCGACGCCGCGUGAAGGAAGAAGUAUCUCGGUAUGUAAACUUCUAUCAGCAGGGAAGAUAAUGACGGUACCUGACUAAGAAGCCCCGGCUAACUACGU
rnacentral:rRNA from 1 species